CAUCAACCCAACAUCCCAAGCUAUAACCAUGCACUGGCUUCUCCAGGCCACUGGGGCUCUCCUGAACAUUUUAUGGAUUGGCCUUUUUUUAACACCACAACCGUUCUCAGAGUUUGAGCAGACAGAAAGCACCGAUGAGGAGGAGAUGUUUUGUUUUCCUCCUCCACCAGUCGAAAUCCCCUCGAAUAAAACCAACAACACCAAAACAACAUUUCCAGCUCACCCUGCUACUGCACCAGGAAGUGAACCUACCAUAAUGGACUCAGAUAACCUGGGACUGACAGGUAGUUAUCCUGAGGUGGAGCAGACGACUCGAGGUAGUUAUCCUGAGGUGGA